CUUCCUCCAGCUCAUCUCUCAGCCUGGGCGCUGAAGGUACCUAAGGACAUCCACCAGACUGCAGGCAGGAGCGUGGAGGAAAAGCCAACCAAAGCGCAGAGGCACUUUGUGUGUUCCAGGUCCUCAGUGACCCGAACCUUGGGAUGCGGCAGGAGGUGCGCCCAGGUGAGCUGAUGGGCAGAUGCAUUUGGCUGCCUGGAGG